rnacentral:rRNA from 1 species
GCCAACUAGAGAUGGGGCAUCGUUCACUUACGACUUGCUCCGCACCUUAUGAGAUAUCAAAGUCUUUGGGUUCCGGGGGGAGUAUGGUCGCAAGGCUGAAACUUAAAGGAAUUGACGGAAGGGCACCACCAGGAGUGGAGCCUGCGGCUUAAUUUGACUCAACACGGGGAAACUCACCAGGUCCAGACAUAAUAAGGAUUGACAGAUUGAUAGCUCUUUCUUGAUUUUAUGGGUGGUGGUGCAUGGCCGUUCUUAGUUCGUGGAGUGAUUUGUCUGCUUAAU